CAGUAGCCACGGGAAUACAGAGGGUGCGAGCGUUAAUCGGAUUUACUGGGCGUAAAGCGUGCGUAGGCGGCUUCUUAAGUCGGAUGUGAAAUCCCUGAGCUUAACUUAGGAAUUGCAUUCGAUACAGGGAAGCUAGAGUAUGGGAGAGGAUGGUAGAAUUCCAGGUGUAGCGGUGAAAUGCGUAGAGAUCUGGAGGAAUACCGAUGGCGAAGGCAGCCAUCUGGCCUAAUACUGACGCUGAGGUACGAAAGCAUGGGGAGAAAACAGGAUUAGAUACCCCAGUAGUCCCUGUCUCUUAUAC
rnacentral:rRNA from 1 species